rnacentral:rRNA from 1 species
UACGUAGGGUGCAAGCGUUGUCCGGAAUUAUUGGGCGUAAAGAGCUCGUAGGCGGUUCGUCGCGUCGGCUGUGAAAACCCGGAGCUCAACUCCGGGCCUGCAGUCGAUACGGGCGGACUUGAGUGUUGCAGGGGAGACUGGAAUUCCUGGUGUAGCGGUGAAAUGCGCAGAUAUCAGGAGGAACACCAGUGGCGAAGGCGGCAUCCUGGCCCUGUCCUGACGCUCAGGGGCGAAAGCGUGGGGAGCAAACCGG